GCCGGGCGAGGUGGCGGGCGCCUGUAGUCCCAGCUACUCCGGAGGCUGAGGCAGGAGAAUGGCGUGAACCCGGGAGGCGGAGCUUGCAGUGAGCUGAGAUCCGGCCACUGCACUCCAGCCUGGGCAAAGAAUUUGUAUACUUUAAUGUUUGUUUCCCGUAUAAGUCUGAAGAUCUAGUGAGGUAGAGGCCAUCUCUAUAUAUUAUUUCUCUCUCUCUUUUUUUUUUUUUUAGAUGGAGUCUUGCCCUGUCGCCCAGGCUGGAGUGUGGUGGCGUGAUACAGCUCACUGCAAGCUCUGCCUCCUGGGUUCAUACCAUUCUCCUGCCUCAG
rnacentral:sRNA from 1 species